rnacentral:rRNA from 1 species
GAUGAACGCUGGCGGCGUGCCUAAUACAUGCAAGUCGAGCGAACGGACGAGAAGCUUGCUUCUCUGAUGUUAGCGGCGGACGGGUGAGUAACACGUGGAUAACCUACCUAUAAGACUGGGAUAACUUCGGGAAACCGGAGCUAAUACCGGAUAAUAUUUUGAACCGCAUGGUUCAAAAGUGAAAGACGGUCUUGCUGUCACUUAUAGAUGGAUCCGCGCAGCAUUAGCUAGUUGGUAAGGUAACGGCUUACCAAGGCAACGAUGCAUAGCCGACCUGAGAGGGUGAUCGGCCACACUGGAACUGAGACACGGUCCAGACUCCUACGGGAGGCAGCAGUAGGGAAUCUUCCGCAAAGGGCGAAAGCCUGACGGAGCAACGCCGCGUGAGUGAUGAAGGUCUUCGGAUCGUAAAACUCUGUUAUUAGGGAAGAACAUAUGUGUAAGUAACUGUGCACAUCUUGACGGUACCUAAUCAGAAAGCCACGGCUAACUACGUG